CCUACGGGAGGCAGCAGUGAGGAAUAUUGGUCAAUGGACGAGAGUCUGAACCAGCCAAGUAGCGUGAAGGAUGACUGCCCUAUGGGUUGUAAACUUCUUUUAUAAAGGAAUAAAACGAGGCACGUGUGCCUUUUUGCAUGUACUUUAUGAAUAAGGAUCGGCUAACUCCGUGCCAGCAGCCGCGGUAAUACGGAGGAUCCGAGCGUUAUCCGGAUUUAUUGGGUUUAAAGGGAGCGUAGAUGGGUUGUUAAGUCAUGUGUGAAAGUUUGCGGCUCAACCGUAAAAUUGCAAUUGAUACUGGCAGUCUUGAGUACAGUUGAGGUAGGCGGAAUUCGUGGUGUAGCGGUGAAAGGCUUAGAUAUCACGAAGAACCCCGAUUGCGAAGGCAGCUUACUAAACUGUGACUGACAUUGAUGCUCGAAAGUGUGGGUAUCAAACAGGAUUAGAUACCCGUGUAGUC
rnacentral:rRNA from 1 species